CGAUAGAUCAGCCCUUCUGCUACCAAUCGCUAACAACACGUCAAUGGAGUGAUAAAAGGAGAGGGGCAGGGUCUACUGACAGUAAGGGAAACAGCCACCAAAGAGGGGACUCUCAUGGCUGACUACUGUAUACAAGGUGAACUGAUGGAUGGGAGUCAAGAACUCAACGCCAGCAAAUUCCAAGGAGGAAAUCAAUACAUGCUGUUUAAAACCAGUAGAAGGAAGGAAAAAGCACAGCGGAUGAGAGGAUCUAUACAGAUCAGGGACAUUGAUUGCCUUGUGGAGAAUAGAAACAUGUAAAAUAGAUCCAUCAUCCAUUGCAGCCUGCCUGGUUUUUCACCAUCUAAAAAUGGAGGAUGGAUUUUUUGGCUAUGUACUGCAUCAUGCCUCUGCUGAUAAAGCAUUCUGAAAGAAAUAAGUUUAUUUUUUUUCCCAGAAUGUCUCACAGAACUGAUAAAAACUGAUUUUCUCUGAUAUUUUGCACAUUUUAAUAGAGCAGUGAGACCUUGCUGCACAUCACUUAUAUACAAUCAAUAUUUUACAUUAAAGACAACAUGCAGGCUAACACUUGUGAAAACUGUCUGUAGUUAGCAUUUGAAAAGCAUUUUACCAUUACAUAAGAAUAAAUAUACUAAUGAUCUCUUCUAGAAUUUUCUCAUGAUAUUGUAGCACAUUGUGAUAUGAAAAAAAUGCCACUGUCACAUGUUGCAAGACCAUUCUAGUAGUACUUACAUACCCUCUGUGUGCAUGAUUUUGUUUUGGAGCACAGUUGUUGAUAAUAAAGGUUCUGUAUAUAUGUGCUGGAGGUUCAAACCACCAUCUCAGACACACAUGCUGUAUUAACCACGUUGUUGGCCACUGUUGAAAAAUCAAAUACCACUGUGCCAGUAUAAUGUCAGAUUAUGAUUUUGACUGAUGGUUCAUUAAUUUAUCUGCAAUUUACAAUUUAUGAUUAAAUGAAGAACACACUUUCAGCCAAAGAAAGUUACAAAAAACUUUCUUCGGCUAAAAGUGUCUCAACUCACA